CCCAAAACUCCAUGACCAGUGAACAUGAAGAGCAACCAUAUGGAGAUAGAUUCAUCUUAAAAUUAAUUUCUUUACUCAUAUUAGGGUUUUGAAUCUGGAACUGGGUUUUCUGUACUCUCAGUUUCAUAGACAAUUAUUUUUACUCUGAGAAACAUUGUCUCGACUGGGAGGAAAAUGACAACAUGAUAGCCUCAUGCGCAUGGGAAACCUCCCUGACGGAGAGUCUCUCUAAAGCUUAACACUUCUGUGGUUAAGCAAAGUUGUUUCUUUUUUUUUCUUAUCAAUUCCUUUCUGUGGUUAUCAAACAGAGAUGGGUACUCAUGGGGACGAUGAACAUGGAGAUUGCUUCUUUUGUUUUUAUCUCUAGACAUUGUUUCUCACCGACGCCUUAAGAUUCUCUAAUAUAUGGCCUUUAGCUUCGAUUAGACUGCAACACAUUACUCUGAAGAUGAACUCACCCCUAUCUUAGAGCCCAAGUUCAACGUUAAGAUCAUUACUGGAGUGUAUGGUUCAAAUCCCUGGGGCAACCAGUUACAUUGGUUCUAUUUAAAAGGACAAAUAUGAAGAAGGAUGCCACAAGAGCUUAUAUGUCAAUUUCCGCUACUACGCAGAAGUGUCAACACCUACAAGAACUUACCGUGUCUGCGUUAUGGGUGGAAAAAGGUCAGUCUCUAUGUUUGCUUAUGCUGAUUGACUUAAAAAUAAAUCUUUUGCUGAUAUUCGAUUUCUGCAUGGUUUCUAAAUAAAAUGUGAAUUUUGUCGUUGUUUUGAUGAAGUAAUUUAGAAUGAACAAAUUUGACAUUGUUGAACGGUUGAAGCAAUUUCAAGGACAAAUGAAAGUAUUUUUUUAUUUCUGUGUGCAAGGAUUUUAGUUAGUUCAGUCUGAGUUGUUUGUUGCAAAAUUUUGGUUUAACUACAUAUCUGUUUUUUUAAUUAAAUUUAACUGAUAUCAAAUAUGUGUCUUUUCACUUAUUCACGUGAGCCCUCCAUACUUUUGUUUA